UACCAGCACCCCGAGUGGUCGGGACGUUUAUUGGGCCUAAAGCAUCCGUAGCCGGUUCUACAAGUCUUCCGUUAAAUCCAACUGCUUAACAGAUGGGCUGCGGAAGAUACUAUGGAGCUAGGAGGCGGGAGAGGCAAGCGGUACUCGAUGGGUAGGGGUAAAAUCCGUUGAUCCAUUGAAGACCACCAGUGGCGAAGGCGGCUUGCCAGAACGCGCUCGACGGUGAGGGAUGAAAGCUGGGGGAGCAAAAGGG
rnacentral:rRNA from 1 species